rnacentral:rRNA from 1 species
UCCAGACUCCUACGGGAGGCAGCAGUGGGGGAUAUUGCACAAUGGGGGGAACCCUGAUGCAGCGACGCCGCGUGGGUGAAGGAGCGUUUCGGCGCGUAAAGCCCUAUCGGCAGGGAAGAAGGAGGACGGUACCUGACUAAGAAGCCCCGGCUAACUACGUGCCAGCAGCCGCGGUAAUACGUAGGGAGCAAGCGUUAUCCGGAUUUAUUGGGUGUAAAGGGUGCGUAGACGGGAAGGCAAGUUGGUUGUGAAAUCCCUCGGCUUAACUGAGGAACUGCAACCAAAACUAUCUUUCUUGAGUGCUGGAGAGGAAAGUGGAAUUCCUAGUGUAGCGGUGAAAUGCGUAGAUAUUAGGAGGAACACCGGUGGCGAAGGCGGCCUGCUGGACUGCGACUGACGUUGAGGCCCGAAAGCGUGGGGAGCAAACAGGAUUAGAUACCCCCGUAUG